AAACAGCCCCUUAUGUUUUGAUUCUUUAGCAGUUUUGGACCCCCAAGACAAAAAAAAAAAAAAAAUAUUUGACACGUGGCACCUCACUUAGGGUGCCACAUCAGCGUUGACCGAGUCAACAAUGGACUGGGGGUCCAAAACUGCCAAAGAAUCAAAACAUAGGAGACUGUUU
rfam:Medicago truncatula strain A17 unplaced genomic scaffold scaffold0272, whole genome shotgun sequence.